rnacentral:rRNA from 1 species
GAUGAACGCUGGCGGCGUGCCUAAUACAUGCAAGUCGAGCGAACGGACGAGAAGCUUGCUUCUCUGAUGUUAGCGGCGGACGGGUGAGUAACACGUGGAUAACCUACCUAUAAGACUGGGAUAACUUCGGGAAACCGGAGCUAAUACCGGUUGAUAUUUUGAACCGCAUGGUUCAAAAGUGAACGACGGUCUUGCUGUCACUAAUAGAUGUUUCCUCGCUGCAUUAGCUAGUUGGUAAGGUAACGGCCUACCAAGGCUACGAUGCAUAGCCGACCUGAGAGGGUGAUCGGCCACACUGGAACUGAGACACGGUCCAGACUCCUACGGGAGGCAGCAGUAGGGAAUCUUCCGCAAUGGGCGAAAGCCUGACGGAGCAACGCCGCGUGAGUGAUGAAGGUCUUCGGAUCGUAAAACUCUGUUAUUAGGGAAGAACAUAUGUGUAAGUAACUGUGCACAUCUUGACGGUACCUAAUCAGAAAGCCACGGCUAACUACGUG